rnacentral:lncRNA from 1 species
AUUAAAAUUCUUGACGGUUUAAAAAUGUCAUAAAUCAGUUCAUCCUUGACGGUUUUAAAAUGUCAUAAAUAAUACCAGUCUUGACGGUUCUAAAACGUCAUGAACAUAAGUAUACUUGACGUUUAUAAAACGUCAACGUUCACUAUUCUUGACGUUUAAUCAACCGUCAAGAACUUUGCCUUUCUUGACGCUGGCUUCAACGACGGUUUUAAAACCGUCAAGAAAGCCUUCUCUUGACAGUUUAAAAACGUCAAGAGAGCCUGUUUUUGUAGUAGUG